UACGUAGGGUGCAAGCGUUAAUCGGAAUUACUGGGCAUAAAGCGUGCGCAGGCGGUUAUGUAAGACAGUUGUGAAAUCCCCGGGCUCAACCUGGGAACUGCAUCUGUGACUGCAUAGCUAGAGUACGGUAGAGGGGGAUGGAAUUCCGCGUGUAGCAGUGAAAUGCGUAGAUAUGCGGAGGAACACCGAUGGCGAAGGCAAUCCCCUGGACCUGUACUGACGCUCAUGCACGAAAGCGUGGGGAGCAAACAGG
rnacentral:rRNA from 1 species